AACGCGAAGAACCUUACCAGCCUUUGACAUGUCCACUAUGGGUCUAGGAGACUAGACCCUUCGGUUCGGCCGGGUGGAACACAGGUGCUGCAUGGCUGUCGUCAGCUCGUGUCGUGAGAUGUUGGGUUAAGUCCCGCAACGAGCGCAACCCUCAUCUUCAGUUGCCACCAGGUAAGGCUGGGCACUCUGAAGAAACCGCCGGUGACAAGCCGGAGGAAGGCGGGGAUGACGUCAAGUCCUCAUGGCCCUUACAGGCUGGGCUACACACGUACUACAAUGGUGGUGACAGUGGGCAGCGAAGUCGCGAGACGGAGCCAAUCCCCAAAAGCCAUCUCAGUUCAGAUUGCACUCUGCAACUCGAGUGCAUGAAGUUGGAAUCGCUAGUAAUCGCAGAUCAGCACGCUGCGGUGAAUACGUUCCCGGGCCUUGUACACACCGCUCGCGA
rnacentral:rRNA from 1 species